rnacentral:rRNA from 1 species
UACGUAGGGUGCAAGCGUUGUCCGGAAUUAUUGGGCGUAAAGAGCUCGUAGGCGGUUUGUUGCGUCGGCUGUGAAAUCCCGAGGCUCAACCUCGGGUCUGCAGUCGAUACGAGCAAACUAGAGUGUUGCAGGGGAGACUGGAAUUCCUGGUGUAGCGGUGAAAUGCGCAGAUAUCAGGAGGAACACCGGUGGCGAAGGCGGGUCUCUGGGGCGAACAA